rnacentral:rRNA from 1 species
UACAGAGGUCUCAAGCGUUGUUCGGAUUCAUUGGGCGUAAAGGGUGCGUAGGCGGCGCGGUAAGUCGGGUGUGAAAUCUCGGGGCUUAACUCCGAAACUGCAUUCGAUACUGCCGUGCUUGAGGACUGGAGAGGAGACUGGAAUUUACGGUGUAGCGGUGAAAUGCGUAGAUAUCGAGAGGAACACCAGUGGCGAAGGCGGGUCUCUGGACAGUUCCUGACGCUGAGGCACGAAGGCCAGGGGAGCAAACGGGG